UCAAUUACCAUAGAUGAAGAAACCAAA
rnacentral:piRNA from 1 species